UCCUUAAAAAGACAAAAGAUAACAGAUCUUUCAUGAUUAUGUGGCGGGUGGUGCAUGGCCGUUCUUAGUUCGUGGAGUGAUCUGUCUGCUUAAUUGCGUUUCAAAUGUAUUUUUGAUUUAUCAAACGAGUCUACGAAGAUGUCUAUUCAUACAAGCACUUCAUUUAUGAUUUGUUUGGAAUACGACUCUUUCGGCUCAAUUGAACGCAACGGACGUGAUUGCAAGUCCUUGUUGAACUUCUGUAUAUAUCAUUUACAUUCUUAACUGAGUGUAUCUAAGAUAAUAGAGUUCGCUUUCUAUUGGUGACGGGAUCUCCAAUCACUUUCGAGUGAGAGUGAGUGAUCUAAUCCUUUAGGAAAACUCGGGCGACCG
rnacentral:rRNA from 1 species